rnacentral:misc_RNA from 1 species
CCUUCCCACAAGAUUGAGACUCAGAGUUCAUCACUCUAUCCGAACAGCUUCCUUCUCCCUCCUUGAGCCGCACUUCAACAUUAGAAUUUUUAGCAUUUUGUCUAAUCCAAGCAUCAUCAAUUCCAUUAGAUUCCAAAUAAUCCAUAUUUAUUGAAGAACCAUAACCUGAAACCCUAACACAAACGGAAGGGUCAGAAACACUUUUACCAGAACUAUCCAAUGAUUUACG